CGGCCUAUCAGCUUGUUGGUGGGGUGACGGCCUACCAAGGCGACGACGGGUAGCCGGCCUGAGAGGGUGUCCGGCCACACUGGGACUGAGAUACGGCCCAGACUCCUACGGGAGGCAGCAGUGGGGAAUAUUGCACAAUGGGCGCAAGCCUGAUGCAGCGACGCCGCGUGGGGGAUGACGGCCUUCGGGUUGUAAACCUCUUUCACCAUCGACGAAGGUCCGGGUUCUCUCGGAUUGACGGUAGGUGGAGAAGAAGCACCGGCCAACUACGUGCCAGCAGCCGCGGUAAUACGUAGGGUGCGAGCGUUGUCCGGAAUUACUGGGCGUAAAGAGCUCGUAGGUGGUUUGUCGCGUUGUUCGUGAAAUCUCACGGCUUAACUGUGAGCGUGCGGGCGAUACGGGCAGACUAGAGUACUGCAGGGGAGACUGGAAUUCCUGGUGUAGCGGUGGAAUGCGCAGAUAUCAGGAGGAACACCGGUGGCGAAGGCGGGUCUCUGGGCAGUAACUGACGCUGAGGAGCGAAAGCGUGGGGAGCGAACAGGAUUAGAUACCCUGGUAGUCCACGCCGUAA
rnacentral:rRNA from 1 species